GACGAACGCUGGCGGCGUGCUUAACACAUGCAAGUCGAACGGAAAGGCUCUGCUUUUGUGGGGUGCUCGAGUGGCGAACGGGUGAGUAACACGUGAGUAACCUGCCCUUGACUUUGGGAUAACUUCAGGAAACUGGGGCUAAUACCGGAUAGGAGCUCCUGCUGCAUGGUGGGGGUUGGAAAGUUUCGGCGGUUGGGGAUGGACUCGCGGCUUAUCAGCUUGUUGGUGGGGUAGUGGCUUACCAAGGCUUUGACGGGUAGCCGGCCUGAGAGGGUGACCGGCCACAUUGGGACUGAGAUACGGCCCAGACUCCUACGGGAGGCAGCAGUGGGGAAUAUUGCACAAUGGGCGGAAGCCUGAUGCAGCAACGCCGCGUGCGGGAUGAUGGCCUUCGGGUUGUAAACCGCUUUCGCCUGUGACGAAGCGUGAGUGACGGUAAUGGGUAAAGAAGCACCGGCUAACUACGUG
rnacentral:rRNA from 1 species